UACGCAGGGUGCAAGCGUUAAUCGGAAUUACUGGGCGUAAAGCGUGCGCAGGCGGUUUUGUAAGUCUGACGUGAAAUCCCCGGGCUCAACCUGGGAAUUGCGUUGGAGACUGCAAGGCUAGAAUCUGGCAGAGGGGGGUAGAAUUCCACGUGUAGCAGUGAAAUGCGUAGAGAUGUGGAGGAACACCGAUGGCGAAGGCAGCCCCCUGGGUCAAGAUUGACGCUCAUGCACGAAAGCGUGGGGAGCAAACAGG
rnacentral:rRNA from 1 species